rnacentral:rRNA from 1 species
AACGCGAAGAACCUUACCUACCCUUGACAUGUUCAGGAGUCCGAAGAGAUUUGGAUGUGCUCGAAAGAGAACUGGAACACAGGUGCUGCAUGGCUGUCGUCAGCUCGUGUCGUGAGAUGUUGGGUUAAGUCCCGCAACGAGCGCAACCCUUGUCGUUAAUUGCCAUCAUUAAGUUGGGCACUUUAACGAGACUGCCGGUGACAAACCGGAGGAAGGUGGGGAUGACGUCAAGUCCUCAUGGCCCUUAUGGGUAGGGCUUCACACGUCAUACAAUGGUCGGUACAAAGGGUUGCCAACCCGCGAGGGGGAGCUAAUCCCAUAAAGCCGAUCGUAGUCCGGAUCGCAGGCUGCAACUCGCCUGCGUGAAGUCGGAAUCGCUAGUAAUCGUGGAUCAGCAUGUCACGGUGAAUACGUUCCCGGGUCUUGUACACACCGCCCGUAAUCAC